UCAAGCAUUCGUUCAACCGUUCAUCCAUCUUGAGAAAAUCUGAAAAGGGGUUCUUCAUUUGAGUAAAGCUUUUAUUGUUAUAUUUGCUCAUUUAAGGAGCUGUUAUUGUAUUCAUCUGUGCUCUAAAUAUUCUUAUUCUUUGUGAGUUUUUGCUCUUGUUUUUGGAGGAUUUCCAAAACAAGGAAAGGUUGAUCUGAACCUGAAAUCGGAGUGUUUUGGGUUUGCUUGUACCCAAAAAACAAGUGUUCUAGCUUGGGAUAGCUAGUGUCUGAGUAUCCGACGUCUUGUAUUCUAGCUUGGGAUAGCUAGUGUCGGAGUUUCCGACGUUUUGUAUUCGGGUUGAAUACAAAGGAUAGUGGAUUGAAAUUCCCAAGUGGGAUCUUGGGGAGUGGAUGUAGGUGCAAGGUUAGCACCGAACCACUAUAAAUCCUUGUGUUUAUGGUGUGCUUUAUUGCUUUAUCUUAUUUCUUUAUUAUAUCCUUGCAAUACUGUUUUAGGUAAUUAAUAUUGAUUUAAAGCCAUUGUUUUGUUCUUCAUAAAUUAUCUGUUGGGCUUAAAAUUUUUAGAAACCCAAUUCACCCCCCCUCUUGGGUUGCAU
rnacentral:lncRNA from 1 species